rnacentral:rRNA from 1 species
GACGAACGCUGGCGGCGUGCCUAAUACAUGCAAGUAGAACGCACAGUUUAUACCGUAGCUUGCUACACCGUAGACUGUGAGUUGCGAACGGGUGAGUAACGCGUAGGUAACCUGCCUGGUAGCGGGGGAUAACUAUUGGAAACGAUAGCUAAUACCGCAUAAUAUUAAUUAUUGCAUGAUAAUUAAUUGAAAGGUGCAAUUGCACCACUACCAGAUGGACCUGCGUUGUAUUAGCUAGUAGGUGAGGUAACGGCUCACCUAGGCGACGAUACAUAGCCGACCUGAGAGGGUGAUCGGCCACACUGGGACUGAGACACGGCCCAGACUCCUACGGGAGGCAGCAGUAGGGAAUCUUCGGCAAUGGACGAAAGUCUGACCGAGCAACGCCGCGUGAGUGAAGAAGGUUUUCGGAUCGUAAAGCUCUGUUGUAAGAGAAGAACGGGUGUGAGAGUGGAAAGUUCACACUGUGACGGUAUCUUACCAGAAAGGGACGGCUAACUACGUG